rnacentral:misc_RNA from 1 species
UCCGGCUUAUCACCGGCAGUUCCUCUAGGGUGCCCAACUAAAUGAUGGCAACUAAAGGCGAGGGUUGCGCUCGUUGCGGGACUUAACCCAACAUCUCACGACACGAGCUGACGACAGCCAUGCAGCACCUCUACACAGUCCUCCGAAGAGGGGCUCUCAUCUCUGAGACUUUCCUGUGCAGUUCGAGCCCAGGUAAGGUUCUUCGCGUUGCGUCGAAUUGAACCACAUGCUCCACCGCUUGUGCGGGCCCCCGUCAAUUCCUUUGAGUUUCAGCCUUGCGACUGUACUCCCCAGGCGGCAUAUUUAACGCGUUAGCUCCGGCACGGACAGAAUGAACUGCCCACACCAAAUAUGCAUCGUUUAGGGCGUGGACUAC